AUGAAAGACUCCGAUCUUACUGGGGAUUCAUCACUGGCUAGGGCUUUCGAAUCAAAGCAUGGGCAUCUGCAACUAAGAGGGAACAGUAGAUCGUCGAUUGAAGAGCCAGGGAUUCUUAUCUUUCCCCACGAGGUCUUCAAGCCAGAUGGAGUAGUGCAUCUCUGUCUUGAAAGUCGCCCUACAGAUAGGAGUUCCUAUCUCUACUGCCUAUCCAACCCGAAGAUUCUUAUUCGUGGUGGAGUGCUUCGACUGGAAUGCCUUUCUAGAGGAGGCUACCCGAGGAAUCGAUAA
rnacentral:lncRNA from 1 species